rnacentral:lncRNA from 1 species
AGCUGUUGGCAGAGUAGAAUAGAGGGGGUGCUAGAAUCAGGCGCCUUACAGAAGCAUCUUGUUGCUCUACACAAAAUCUCAUUUAUAUUACAAGAAGUCCGUUUCAAGUCUAGCUUUACACAUUACCACUAUGACAUGAGCUAUCUACAAGGCCAUAUCAGAGAUACAGUAAGAAAUAAGCUACCAGAUGGAGAAUAUAUUCCUCUGCUCUGGCCGCAGGAUAAUGAUCAGAAUUCUUGAACUGCAGAGAAAAAUGAUCAGAAUUAGCAACCUAAUACGAAUUAGGAACUUCAUCUGCCUUCGAAUCUUUCUAUUCAAACUUCGGCUCCUUUUUAUUUUUUUCCCACUGUUUUGUAGAAUAUAAAUUUUCAUCUCAAUUACUUCUUUAAAAAAAUAAGAAACUACAUACAUUCUUCAAAUCCAGCUCCAGGAUCUUCAAUACAAAUCAGUUUCCAUGUUAAAAAUUAGGCCCUCUUCAAAACUUUGUCAUCAGAAUAUUUUUAGUUAGGAGCUUUUUUCAGGUGUCAAGAAAAGUGGACAUAGGAUAUCAUAUACCCAUAAGAUAAUCCAAGCCCCUAACCGGUAGGUUCUGUGCAACAGAUCUAAAUAGUAAUGAUACUUUUAAAUGUUGGAUUUUGUGACUGUUGGAGAAUAACUUCAGACAAAAUCCAACUCUGCCUUCCUACAAACAUUCACAGCACAAAAAUAGCAGUCUUGCAAACUGCAAUGCCAUCCCUCCUCUUUCCUAAUCACUAGUUUCAUGAAAUCACAUUUAUCGUAGUUUAUUUAUACACCAAAUUAUUCAUCUACAACUCAUAUAAGAAAAAGGAAAACCAGUAAAUGAAAAGUUGCCACCAUAGAGAAGUCCACUUAUUUUAGAACCCAAAAAGUAGUGUGUUAGCCAAAAAGUAUAGAAACCUUCAGCAGAGAGCAUGGAAUCAGUCUCUCUCAUACACACAUACCCACACAGAUCAUCAAAAGAAAGCAUUAGCAUUCAGCAACCAGACCCCAAAAACAUCCCCAUCCCACCACUGUCACAGUUCCCCACCCCCUAAAAACAUUCCCCAAUGCCAUAACAGAAAGCACCCCCCAUUAAAAAAAAAAAAACCCAGAAAUUAGUGGAAAAACUCACGUAGAAAGCAAAACAAAAACCAUGCACAGUGACACUCACCACUGAAUGCAAAAACCCUCAGUCCAAAAACUAAACACCUCCAACAUCUCCUCCACUUCCACCACCACCACCUAGCACAAGGAUGACACCAUGACAAACUCCACGGCCCAACCGGACCAGCACCAGCCUCCGCAACCAGAACAGCCACCAAGACCCCCACAAGUUAUCCGGAAACUUAUCGUGGAAGUUGUGGAGGCCCGCGACCUCCUCCCGAAAGAUGGCCAGGGCAGUUCAAGCCCAU